GCCCGUCUAGCUCAGUCGGUAGAGCAUGAGACUUAUAAUCUCAGGGCCGUGGGUCAGACUCCCACGGUGGGCG